rnacentral:misc_RNA from 1 species
GAUGAAGAACGCAGCGAAAUGCGAUAAGUAAUGUGAAUUGCAGAAUUCAGUGAAUCAUCGAAUCUUUGAACGCACCUUGCGCCCUUUGGCCAUUCCGAAGGGCAUGCCUGUUUGAGUAUCAUGAACACCUUAACUCUUUAUGGUUUUCCAUGAUGAGCUUGGACUCUGGGGGUUUUGCUGGCUCACAGUCGGCUCCUCUAAAAUGAAUCAGCUUACCAGUGUUUGGUGGGUAUCAUGGGUGUGAUAACUAUCUACGCUUGUGGUUUUUCCACCAGGUAACCUUCAGCAGUGGAGGUUCGCUGGAGCUCAUAGAUGUCUCUCCUCAGUGAGGACAGCCCUUUGAAUGUUUGAUCUCAAAUCAGGUAGGACUACCCGCUGAACUUAAGCAUAUCAAUAAGCGGAGGA